UGACUUUGGACUAAAGGAUUUCUAAGGGCUCUUCCAGCUCUAAAUUUCUUUUAUACCAUAUAACAAAGGAAAUACUUAUUGAGGACUGUUUGUGUGUAAGGUGGACUGGUGUCAGAGAGGGGUGAAAGCCUGCAUCACAGACACCAAGACCAUUUUCCCAACCACAUGUGACCUAGUGGGUCUGAGGUUGAUCCUAACCCACCCUGACGUUGCUUCAGUAUCAGAGACAGAGUCUUCAGGACGGGCGUCUAAAAAUGAGGGGAAAUAGCCAGCACAGAGUGGAUCCGGGAAGAAAGAUUCCAAGAAAACGAUCUUGAAAUUACCGAGUUGGAAAGACAGUAAGUUUGUAAGAAGGAGGUUCUUGGCUUCCCCUCCCCUAUAACAAAAGUUGGAUUAACAGAAGAAAAACAAACAGAAGUUUGAUGGCAUGUACAC